rnacentral:rRNA from 1 species
CAACUCUAGAGAUAGAGUCUUCCCCUUCGGGGGACAAAGUGACAGGUGGUGCAUGGUUGUCGUCAGCUCGUGUCGUGAGAUGUUGGGUUAAGUCCCGCAACGAGCGCAACCCUUAAGCUUAGUUGCCAGCAUUAAGUUGGGCACUCUAAGUUGACUGCCGGUGACAAACCGGAGGAAGGUGGGGAUGACGUCAAAUCAUCAUGCCCCUUAUGAUUUGGGCUACACACGUGCUACAAUGGACAAUACAAAGGGCAGCUAAACCGCGAGGUCAUGCAAAUCCCAUAAAGUUGUUCUCAGUUCGGAUUGUAGUCUGCAACUCGACUACAUGAAGCUGGAAUCGCUAGUAAUCGUAGAACAGCAUGCUACGGUGAAUACGUUCCCGGGUCUUGUACACACCGCCCGUCACACCACGAGAGUCUGUAACACCCGAAGCCGGUGGAGUAACCAUUUAUGGAGCUAGCCGUCGAAGGUGGGACAAAUGAUUGGGGUGAAGUCGUAACAAGGUAGCCGUAUCGGAAGGUG